rnacentral:rRNA from 1 species
UACGUAGGGUGCGAGCGUUGUCCGGAAUUACUGGGCGUAAAGGGCGCGUAGGCGGCAAGGCAAGUCAGGUGUGAAAGCCCCGAGCUUAACUCGGGAAUUGCAUCUGAAACUGCUGUGCUUGAGUUCUGGAGGGGGUAGUGGAAUUCCCAGUGUAGCGGUGAAAUGCGUAGAUAUUGGGAGGAACACCUGCGGCGAAGGCGGCUACCUGGACAGAAACUGACGCUGAGGCGCGAAAGCUAGGGGAGCGAACGGG